rnacentral:rRNA from 1 species
GGGUUGUGAGGUUAAGCGACUAAGCGUACACGGUGGAUGCCCUGGCAGUCAGAGGCGAUGAAGGACGUGCUAAUCUGCGAUAAGCGUCGGUAAGGUGAUAUGAACCGUUAUAACCGGCGAUUUCCGAAUGGGGAAACCCAGUGUGUUUCGACACACUAUCAUUAACUGAAUCCAUAGGUUAAUGAGGCGAACCGGGGGAACUGAAACAUCUAAGUACCCCGAGGAAAAGAAAUCAACCGAGAUUCCCCCAGUAGCGGCGAGCGAACGGGGAGGAGCCCAGAGCCUGAAUCAGUGUGUGUGUUAGUGGAAGCGUCUGGAAAGGCGCGCGAUACAGGGUGACAGCCCCGUACACAAAAAUGCACAUACUGUGAGCUCGAUGAGUAGGGCGGGACACGUGGUAUCCUGUCUGAAUAUGGGGGGACCAUCCUCCAAGGCUAAAUACUCCUGACUGACCGAUAGUGAACCAGUACCGUGAGGGAAAGGCGAAAAGAACCCCGGCGAGGGGAGUGAAAAAGAACCUGAAACCGUGUACGUACAAGCAGUGGGAGCCUCUUUAUGGGGUGACUGCGUACCUU